rnacentral:tRNA from 1 species
UGGUAGCUCAGUGGUAGAGCUUUUGCUCUGCAUGCAGAAGGUCAAAAGUUCAAUUCUUGGUAUCUCAA